rnacentral:sRNA from 1 species
ACGGUAGGGUUUUACCGUAUUUUUGCGAGAUAUAUACGAAACUCCUUGACGGUGUCUGAUUUACCACGUAAAAAGCCGGCUGGUAUUUGAUUCAAAGUCUGUGCUGUACUGUUUCUCAUGUGCAAUCUUCGAUUCAAAUAGUCCCGCGGGGGGAUUUCCCCGUUUUUUUAGUAAGGAAGUAACAACAUGGCAAAUGGUACAGUUAAGUGGUUCAACGACGCUAAGGGCUUCGGCUUCAUCACUCCGGAUGACGGUGGCGAAGACCUGUUCGCGCACUUCUCCGCAAUCAACAUGAGCGGUUUCAAGUCGCUGCAAGAAGGCCAGAAGGUCUCCUUCGAAGUGACUCAAGGCCCGAAGGGCAAGCAAGCUUCGAACAUCCAAGCUGCUUAAUCGAUCUCGAAUCGAUUGUCAGAAACGCCACCUCCGGGUGGCGUUUUUGUU